CCGGAGGAAGGUGGGGAUGACGUCAAGUCCUCAUGGCCCUUAUGACCAGGGCUUCACACGUCAUACAAUGGUCGGUACAGAGGGUCGCUAAGCCGCGAGGUAGUGCCAAUCUCAUAAAACCGAUCGUAGUCCGGAUCGCAGUCUGCAACUCGACUGCGUGAAGUCGGAAUCGCUAGUAAUCGCGGAUCAGCAUGUCGCGGUGAAUACGUUCCCGGGCCUUGUACACACCGCCCGUCACACCAUGGGAGUGGAAUCCGCCAGAAGUGGGUAGGGUAACCGUAAGGAGCCCGCUUACCACGGUAGGUUUCAUGACUGGGGUGAAGUCGUAACAAGGUAGCCGUAGGGGAACCUGCGGCUGGAUCACCUCCUUU
rnacentral:rRNA from 1 species